rnacentral:rRNA from 1 species
GACGAACGCUGGCGGCGUGCUUAACACAUGCAAGUCGAACGGUGAAGCGCUUGCCCUUUUGGUGGGUGUGGAUGAGUGGCGAACGGGUGAGUAACACGUGAGUAACCUGCCCUCUUCUUCUGGAUAACCUCAUGAAAGUGGGGCUAAUACGGGGUAUUCCGGGUCUGUCGCAUGGCGGGUUUGGGUAAGAUUGCGCCUUUGGGUGUUUUCGGUGGGGGAUGGGCUCGCGGCCUAUCAGCUUGUUGGUGGGGUGAUGGCCUACCAAGGCGGUGACGGGUAGCCGGCCUGAGAGGGUGGACGGCCACACGGGGACUGAGACACGGCCCAGACUCCUGCGGGAGGCAGCAGUGGGGAAUAUUGCACAAUGGGCGCAAGCCUGAUGCAGCGACGCCGCGUGAGGGAUGGAGGCCUUCGGGUUGUGAACCUCUUUCGCCAGUGAAGCAGGCCUGCUCCUGUGUGGGUGGGUUGACGGUAGCUGGAUAAGAAGCGCCGGCUAACUACGUG